GUACCCUCAAGCUCUGCUUGGUGUUGGGUGUUUGUUCCGCCGCGCGCGAGAACUCGCCUCAAAUGCAUUGGCAGCCGGCAAUUUGGAGUUGGAGCGCAGCACAAUUUGCGCUCUUCGCCAUGUUGCGGCGUCCACAAGCCCAUUUUAUGC
rnacentral:misc_RNA from 1 species